UAGGGAAUCUUCCGCAAUGGACGCAAGUCUGACGGAGCAACGCCGCGUGAGUGAAGAAGGAUUUCGGUUCGUAAAACUCUGUUGUUAGAGAAGAACAGCGCAUAGAGUAACUGUUAUGCGUGUGACGGUAUCUAACCAGAAAGCCACGGCUAACUACGUGCCAGCAGCCGCGGUAAUACGUAGGUGGCAAGCGUUGUCCGGAUUUAUUGGGCGUAAAGCGAGCGCAGGCGGUCAAUUAAGUCUGAUGUGAAAGCCCCCGGCUCAACCGGGGAGGGUCAUUGGAAACUGGUUGACUGGAGUGCAGAAGAGGAGAGUGGAAUUCCAUGUGUAGCGGUGAAAUGCGUAGAUAUAUGGAGGAACACCAGUGGCGAAGGCGACUCUCUGGUCUGUAACUGACGCUGAGGCUCGAAAGCGUGGGGAGCGAACAGG
rnacentral:rRNA from 1 species